AGCGCGGGCCACCGAGCUAAUUUCAACCUCUGAAUUAUCCGUCAAAUUUGACAAUCUUUGCGAUGUUCAAAAAAAUUUCUGUACCCCACUUUCAGGUUUAGGAACUACCUUUUUCCGAGAUACCCGAAUCGGAUUAUCGAACAAGUAUUAUGAGCGAAAUUAAAAUCGGCGACAAAAUACCCAGCCUUAUUUUAUACGAAGAAAUCCCGGAGAAGGAGACAGACAUAUCUGAACUCGUGGCGGAUAAAAAGGCGAUAAUAUUCGGGGUACCUGGCGCCUUCGUACCUGGUUGCUCUCGCGUUCAUCUCAGAGGUUUUAUCGAAAAAUCGGACGAACUCAGGCGGAAAGGUUACGAAGAAAUUAUCUGCGUUUCCGUAAACGACCCCUUCGUUCUUACGGCUUGGGGAUGGUCCAAGGGCGCAGAAGACAGGGAUUAUUCAUAGAUCGGAAAUAAUGAAUCCGAGAAUUGUCGCGCGUGGAUUUCCCGUUGACUUUGUACCGCAAACACAUACCACCGCGUUUGUAUAAACCUGCGUGUAUAAACCAUCGGCGGAAACGGGUGAGACUGCUGGCCGAUCCAAUGGCGAAAUUCACGUCGGCGAUAGGAAUGGGUAAAAAAAUGCCAGAACUAGGAGAA
rnacentral:misc_RNA from 1 species